GAUUUCAACUGAAAAAGUCAUCAAUAACAAAGUGGUAUAACUAAUCAAGAUCUAUAGCUUUUAUUUGGGUCAUUUCUUCAUCCGACAGAGUGAUUUGUAACAUUGUUCACAAAAUGUACAUAUCUCUUAUAUAGUUUAUAAACUAUAGGAGAGAUAUGCAAAUUUUGUAAACAAUAUUACUAUCACUUUGUCGGAUGAAGCAAUGACCAAAAUAAAGUUAUAGAUAUUGAUAUGUUAUACAAAUUUGUUGUUGUGGAUGACUUUUUCAGUUGAAAAC
rnacentral:pre_miRNA from 1 species